GUGAAGAAAAAGAUGUCACAAAGCUGAUGGAAAAUGGGUCGGCACUCGGCUGUAUUUCAACACGGAGGACGUCUGGCAGCAGCAAAAAGAAAUUCAAUUGACGAUACUCAACUGUCGAAGUGAAGAAGAAGUUGUCACAAAGCUGAUGGAAAAUGUGUCGGCACUUGGCUGUAUUUCAACACGAAGGACGUCUGGCAGCAGCAAAAAGAAAUUCAACUGACGAUAAUCAAUUGUUGGAGUGAAGAAGAAUUUGUCACAAAGCUGAUGGGAAACAUGUCGGCUGUAUUUCAACACGGAGGACGUCUAGCAGCAGCAAAAAGAAAUUCAACUGACGAUAAUCAAUUGUUGGAGUGAAGAAGAAGUUGUCACAAAGCUGAUGGAAAAUGUGUCGGCACUUGGCUGUAUUUCAACACGAAGGACGUCUGGCAGCAGCAAAAAGAAAUUCAACUGACGAUAAUCAAUUGUUGGAGUGAAGAAGAAGAUGUCACAAAGCUGAUGGAAAAUGGGUCGGCACUCGGCUGUAUUUCAACACGGAGGACGUCUGGCAGCAGCAAAAAGAAAUUCAACUGACGAUACUCAACUGUCGAAGUGAAGAAGAAGAUGUCACAAAGCUGAUGGAAAAUGGGUCGGCACUCGGCUGUAUUUCAACACGAAGGACGUCUGGCAGCAGCAAAAAGAAAUUCAACUGACGAUAAUCAAUUGUUGGAGUGAAGAAGAAGAUGUCACAAAGCUGAUGGAAAAUGGGUCGGCACUCGGCUGUAUUUCAACACGGAGGACGUCUGGCAGCGGCAAAAAGAAAUUCAAUUGACGAUACUCAACUGUCGAAGUGAAGAAGAAGUUGUCACAAAGCUGAUGGAAAAUGUGUCGGCACUUGGCUGUAUUUCAACACGAAGGACGUCUGGCAGCAGCAAAAAGAAAUUCAACUGACGAUAAUCAAUUGUUGGAGUGAAGAAGAAGAUGUCACAAAGCUGAUGGGAAAUGUGUCGGCACUCGUCUUCGUUUCAACCCGGAGGAAGAUUGGCAGCAUCAAUAAGAAGCUCAUCUUUAUGUCAACUGUUGAAAGGAUUUGUUUGCAUUAUAUUAUAAGUUUAAAUUACAUUUAAUCUGCAUAUUAGUUGAAGUUUUAUAGGAACAGAACAUUUAACUGGAUCAUGGACUAUCCACCGACGAAGGAAGAAUUUGUCAUUGAUCUGAUGGAAAAUGUGUCGGCACUCGGCUUCGUUUCAACCCGGAUGAAGAUUUGCAGCAUCAAAAAGAAAUUUAACUGACGAUAAUCAACUGUCGAAGUGAAGAAGAAUUUGUCACAAAGCUGAUGGGAAACAUGUCGGCUGUAUUUCAACACGGAGGACGUCUAGCAGCAGCAAAAAGAAAUUCAACUGACGAUAAUCAAUUGUUGGAGUGAAGAAGAAGAUGUCACAAAGCUGAUGGAAAAUGGGUCAGCACUCGGCUGUAUUUCAACACGAAGGACGUCUGGCAGCAGCAAAAAGAAAUUCAACUGACGAUAAUCAAUUGUUGGAGUGAAGAAGAAGAUGUCACAAAGCUGAUGGAAAAUGGGUCGGCACUCGGCUGUAUUUCAACACGGAGGACGUCUGGCAGCAGCAAAAAGAAAUUCAAUUGACGAUACUCAACUGUCGAAGUGAAGAAGAAGAUGUCACAAAGCUGAUGGAAAAUGGGUCGGCCCUCGGCUUCGUUUCAAUCCGGAGGAAGAUUGGCAGCAUCAAUAAGAAGCUCAUCUUAAUUAAGUUGUCCCCCCCUUUACGCAUUAGCGCUCAUCUCUCAUCCACUCAUCCAACACAUUGACUAUCGCCGGCCGGCAACACACACAUAUUAUACACAUUACCCGUUUUAUAUUAUAUAAAAUUAUUAAUAUCUACAUAGUUUAAGUUAUUGUAUAUUUUUUUUUUAUUAUUUGAAUGCAUUCAUAUGAUCAGUUGCGUAUUUAGAAAUUUUAGGAUAAGAGCAACACAUAUUUGGUUGCCUCCCCCCCAUUAAAUAAAAAAUUAAAAAAACUUCUA